rnacentral:rRNA from 1 species
CCUACGGGAGGCAGCAGUGGGGAAUAUUGCACAAUGGGGGAAACCCUGAUGCAGCGACGCCGCGUGAGUGAAGAAGUAUUUCGGUACGUAAAGCUCUAUCAGCAGGGAAGAAAAUGACGGUACCUGACUAAGAAGCCCCGGCUAACUACGUGCCAGCAGCCGCGGUAAUACGUAGGGGGCAAGCGUUAUCCGGAUUUACUGGGUGUAAAGGGAGUGUAGACGGCAGCGCAAGUCUGGAGUGAAAUCCCAUGGCUUAACCAUGGAACUGCUUUGGAAACUGUGCAGCUAGAGUGCAGGAGAGGUAAGCGGAAUUCCUAGUGUAGCGGUGAAAUGCGUAGAUAUUAGGAGGAACACCAGUGGCGAAGGCGGCUUACUGGACUGUAACUGACGUUGAGGCUCGAAAGCGUGGGGAGCAAACAGGAUUAGAUACCCCAGUAGUC